rnacentral:rRNA from 1 species
GAUGAACGCUGGCGGCGUGCCUAAUACAUGCAAGUCGAGCGAACGGACGAGAAGCUUGCUUUUCUGAUGUUAGCGGCGGACGGGUGAGUAACACGUGGAUAACCUACCUAUAAGACUGGGAUAACUUCGGGAAACCGGAGCUAAUAUCGGAUAAUAUUUUGAACCGCAUGGUUCAAAAGUGAAAGACGGUCUUGCUGUCACUUAUAGAUGGAUCCGCGCUGCAUUAGCUAGUUGGUAAGGUAACGGCUUACCAAGGCAACGAUGCAUAGCCGACCUGAGAGGGUGAUUGGCCACACUGGAACUGAGACACGGUCCAGACUCCUACGGGAGGCAGCAGUAGGGAAUCUUCCGCAAUGGGCGAAAGCCUGACGGAGCAACGCCGCGUGAGUGAUGAAGGUCUUCGGAUCGUAAAACGCUGUUAUUAGGGAGAACAUAUGUGUAAGUAACUGUGCACAUCUUGACGGUACCUAAUCAGAAAGCCACGGCUAACUACGUG